rnacentral:pre_miRNA from 1 species
CUAGCCAGCUGGAUCCACCAGUGGGGAGGCCAAGGUCGCAAAAUCUAGCGACCCCGGCCUCCUCGUUGGCCGAUGCAACAACGGUA